rnacentral:rRNA from 1 species
GACGAACGCUGGCGGCGUGCUUAACACAUGCAAGUCGAACGGAAAGGCCCUGCUUUUGUGGGGUGCUCGAGUGGCGAACGGGUGAGUAACACGGGAGUAACCUGCCCUUGACUUUGGGAUAACUUCAGGAAACUGGGGCUAAUACCGGAUAGGAGCUCCUGCUGCAUGGUGGGGGUUGGAAAGUUUCGGCGGUUGGGGAUGGACUCGCGGCUUAUCAGCUUGUUGGUGGGGUAGUGGCUUACCAAGGCUUUGACGGGUAGCCGGCCUGAGAGGGUGACCGGCCACAUUGGGACUGGGAUACGGCCCAGCCUCCUACGGGAGGCAGCAGUGGGGAAUAUUGCACAAUGGGCGGAAGCCUGAUGCAGCAACGCCGCUUGCGGGAUGACGGCCUUCGGGUUGUAACCCGCUUUCGCCUGUGACGAAGCGUGAGUGACGGUAAUGGGUAAAGAAGCACCGGCUAACUACGUG